AUAGAUCUGGAGCUACCACCAGCUCAGCCUUCUCUGUUUGCUUCUGCCUACUUCAUGCUUGAUUACCUGCGAAACGCAUUCGUGCGGCAAUAUUUCAAUUCAUCAGCAAUGGCGCCAAUCUAAACUUUCAUUAAGAUAUUAAAUUUGGUCCUCUUAUCGUCUGAAAUCAGUGGCCCGAUGGCCUCAAUCCUCAUUGCCAGCCAUAGCCAUACUCAUUCGAUUGCCCGGAAAUGAUUGAUCGCUGCUUUGGAUUGCCCAAAAAGGGCCUAAAUAAAUAAUCUACAACCGCCCCAGGCGCAUUGUGGCACAUUGAGCAUUUCCCUGAUUAUAGACGCUUUGUAAAUUUUGUCUUCCGGCACAGUGGGGCCAAGCAGCUUGA